CUGUCAUGUGCGAUAACGUGCUUGAAAAUACUCACAUCAUCUUUGUUGCAACAGUUUGACUUUGUUAAGAAAAGGCAAGUAGAGUGAACUUCUGAUGGGUAACAGAAUCCAGAGUACCCUGGGAUCAAAAUAGAGCUCUUGAUAGAGUGAUAACAUCGCUGGCAAGAAGACGAAGAACCUAAUCUGUCCUGGUGAUCAGCAAUGGCCACCAAUUCAUCAGUAUUAAGUUAAUUGGAUAAGUAUUGAUUCUCUUGAGGGAGCGGGCUGCAUUUAAAUUGUGCCACAACUCUGCAGGGCGGCACUUUCUGGUUCUUACUUAACAUUCCCAUGCAUGUGUUUGUCUCUUUUUAUGAGAGUGUGUGUUCAGCUAUAUGAGUUUAAUGUGUUUAUUAGUGUGCACGUAAAGGUUGAUCUUUACACCCCUAGUAACAGAUUUGUUUUUGUUUUUUUUACUAUCAACCUACAGUGUGAAGUGCCCAUUCAUAAACAUUCAUGCAUAAACAUUCCUCUGUCUGCACAUGUUGGCCAGUGACUGUGGUGCGUGCCACUGUGUCUAGUCAGUGAUAUGUUUGCACUUUUCCCUGUUUAAUCUGGAGUGGUGUGUGAGUCAGCUGCUAUCAUUGUUAAUCGGAAUGUCCCCUCUAAACAUCUGAGCAUGCUAUAGUACAUAUAGAGUGGUCAUUUUUUAGCCUAACUGCCCCUGUGUUUCUGUGUGGUGUGGGAAUUUAGCAAUGCUUUCGCUGCCACAGGUAUAUGCACGGAAUCGGUCUCUAUGACAGAGGGAAGAAGAAGAAGAAGAAGAAGAAGAAGGAGUGAGGACACAGACAGAUUCACCUUAUUGAAUCCCUCCAUCACUACAUAGUAGCCUACAGUGGAGCAUAUGCCCAUGGGUGUUUAGUAUGAGAUUGAUCACACACACCGUCCUGUUAUUUCUCACUCAUUCGACAACUGAAAUGGAUUAGCUGGCCAGUAGUCUGCCUCACUCUGAGAACAAUGACUCUGCCGUUAUGUCGUCUACCUUAUCAGUCUGCCCCUCUACUGCUGCCCAUUUCUCUUUCAUUCGCUAUAACACAAUACACAGAAGUUAAACCAGAUAUUUGUCAUUACCAAACAAACUGUCUCUAACACUUCUUGUGUCUUUCCAUUUUAAACGCCUACAUCAUCUGAGGACGCAACAAAGAUAAAAUAAGUGGUCCUCCAGCUGUUACCACUCUUUACGCUAAGCUAAGCCAACCAGCUGCUGGCUCUUGCUUCAAAUUCAGCCUACAGACAUGACAGUGGUAUCGAUCUCCUCAACUUACUCUUGGCAAC